CAGUAAAAUCCAGCACACCUUAUCUGUCAGACAUAAACUUAUUUCUGAAAUGUGACAGUCUUGGCUAAAGCAAAGGAUAUCCUCUGUGGCCUGUCAUGUUCGGAAGUGAAGGACAUCUCAACUCUGGAAGAGAAGUAGCAGGUGGAACAUCCAGAGAAUUCUACCCCUAGGACCAUAAGAAUUGUGGCAGUGCCAAAGAAGGAGUUGUAAGGUACAUCGUAAUCACUGACAGACUGACAAGUACAGCUUCUAUUAAGGAGGCCAGUCCCCAGGCAGCGGUUAACACACAGAAUUGUAAGCUUGUGGAUGGUCACGAAGAGGUCCAGAAUCAGAGCAUUUGUACAUUUUUGGUGACAAAGUUUUGAUGCUGCAAUCAAACGUACUGGAACAAAACAAACCCCUACUUUCUGAAUGACUGAAAAUCCCUAUAAAAUGUUGUUUGUGUCCAACAUGUGACUAUACAUUUACCUGUGACUGCUUACUUAAAAUAUGUAACAAUUAUCUAUUUCCUCUGGUGCAUUUUAAAUAUAUACAUUACAGAAUGUUUGACUACUGUCAAACACUGCAGAAGACUACUUCUUGCAGAUUGUGUCAUGCAGUGUUAUAUGGCACUGUUUUGCUUUUGAGGAUUUUAGUAUCAACAGGCUAUGUGAAUUGCAAUGAAAAUCUUGUCCUAACAUUUUGUGAAUGGUUUCUGUUUGAAACAGACAUAGAACAUGCAUGAAUAAGUAGCCCUUUGAAUACUUAAUGAUGCUUUCAAUUUUUAUGUCCAAUGUAAAUAAUAUCAUAUGGCUAGCUAUGAUCUAUGGGGGUCUGCUUUACAGAAGGAACUGAUACUGUAGCCUCCAUUUUGAGUUGAUGUUAUAUUUUGUUCUUAGGCUUAAAUGACUUAAGUACUUGUUUUUCUUCAAAGACUGUAUGAAGUUUACCCUGUCUUUAAAGGUUUACUGUGUAAAAGAAAAAACAAAGCCAUGUUGUAGGAGUCAACACUAUGCCUACUUUAAGUUAUUGAACACUUUGUACUCCAAAGUUGAAAAAAAAAAGAUAUAUUUUUUUCUCUAUAUAUUUUUGAUAAAUUGUUAAGUCACAUCUGGGAAAUGAACAUGGAUACUGUUCAUCUACAGUGUGAGUAUGGUGGAUAUGUAAAGAAAUUGCAUUAAAAGCCAAUGUAAUGUUUUGCCACAGAAUAUUUUAACUUUGGAUUGUAAAUGUAUUUAUAUUAGGUUAUUCAAAAUGCCAUCACAGCAUCAUUCAACAUCAUCUAUGAUGGUUUCUGGUUUUGAAAAAACCUAUGUAUGGACAAGUGACUGUCACUAAUGAAAUGCUGGUAUUCAAAAAGUACUGUCAUGUUGUUCUCACUUUCACACAACCACUGUUGUUCACCAAGAAAGUGUGUAGGUGUGAAAGCCUUAAAUCUUCUUGCUGCCAAAGUUUUGUCAUUGGUGUGAGGGAUUCGGGCAAGUAUUUAAGUUGCCAUUGGUCACUAAACCCCAUUGUUUUGGGCAGUGUUCUCGUUCAUUUCACGUGAUUUCGUUGUAUUGCAUUUGAGGCCUUAAUUAUUGUAUUGAUAUUAUUAUUGUAAUUAUUGGCACUUAUUGCUUGUGUUUUUACAUUUUAUUUAUGUGUUAUUAAUGUGUUUGUUUAUCAUAUGAUAGUCUGCAAUAAUACUAAUUGGAGUUGGAUACUCUGAAAAGCCUUAGAGUAAAUAUUAUAUUUUUCUCUUCAGCAAGAGGACAGCUUAUAUAUUGAAAAUAAUUACGUUACCUGUUAACAGAUGAAUAUAUAUAUAUAUUUUUGUUUAUUUAUGAGGUGUAUAUUUGUGGAAAGAGACAGUAUUUGCAUCGUGUUUUAAUGUAUCAUACUAUAUACUGUUAAACAUGCUGUUUUCCUGUUAAAAUAGCAUUUUGUCACUACUAAUCAGUGGCUCAGGAAGAUCUCAUUUAUAUUGAGUAUUACUGAGACUUAUGUCAACAAAAUUGUAACUAUGUAUUUUUCAUGGUGAAGGGGAAUAACAGCCUAAUCACUAUCUAAAACUGGGCAGGUGGGUAGGAAAAAAGGUUGUACAAAGGUGGACAAUUUCAGCGAGAUUUAUUGAGCAGCAAACUGACAGUGUAUGGGUUGUGUCUAACCAAUGGGUAAAUUGGUGAGUCAGAAUAUUUGUUAAUUUAUUGGGUUGAUAUUUUAAUCAUAUCGAAAUUUGAAUUCUGUUCUCAUACCAUUAGUUUGAAUUGUACUCAUUUGUCAGUCUAGUCAAGUGCACAUUAUACUAAUGCCCUGCUGGUACUGUAUCCAGUCAUGAAUACUUUUUUUAAAUUGAAAUACAACCUGAAUUAAAGCAGGUGAUGUGUUGAUUUAAAUUGGAUUUCCGUAACCAUUGUGUGAAGCACCUGUUGAAAAAAGUAAAUAUUUUGUUUGGGGGUUGAAAAUGGUUAGGUCUACUGAUUUUCCCUACAUUACUUUGUGCUUUUUCCAAGACACUGUGUGACCCAUAAGGCUGACCAGGUUACAGCGUUGGUUAACCAAUGUUGUGAAGCGGAAACCUCCAGAAUGUUCAGUGAGGACACUCCAUGUGACAUUGAACACUUUGUCAAUGAAAUGUGCUUUACCAAUAUUGUGGUCCAAAUUGUUAUGUUACUGUCAUUGUAGAUGACUUACAUUUCAGCAAAUAUGGGUGUACCAAAAUUGUUGUAAUUCUUCCCUUGUUCUUAUUUUGCUGAUAUAUCUGCCUAUGUUUUACCUUUGGGUUUUCGUCAUCGUGUGCUGGUGUGAAUGUAUAGAAUAAAAGUCUACCUUCCAUCUGCUUAUAUACUUGUAUUUUGUGUGACAAUAUUGUUUUGUUGUACCCCUGUCGCUCUUAUUAAUUUCAGCAUAUAGCAAGAACUACAUUUGUGAAUAAUUGUAUUUGUAUUUGCAGUCCUUCACAAAAUCAUGUCAGACAAAAACAUAAAGCAUAUGUGUAACAACAAAUCCAUCAUUUUAGGGGGAAUUUUCAUGUCUUCUAUGUAGUUUUAUUUUACAGGAAAAGUCUACUGUACACAAUCAUAUACAAAAAAAAAGAAUAUCAGAAAGAUAAUAAACUUCAAGUUUAAAUGUCUACUAUGCCCAUUGUUAACGGACAAAAAUGCUGACUCAGUGUGUCUCACACUAGGAAAAGUCUACUGUACACAAUCAUAUACAAAAAAAAAGAAAAAAGAA